ensembl:lncRNA
GUCUGCCACCAGUACAGAUGGUGAGAGGGUAGUAUGGUAGUGCCAGGAGGGUUGGUGGUGUCUGGGUUGGUGUCUGCCACCAGUACAGAUGGUGAGAGGGUAGUAUGGUAGUGCCAGGAGGGUUGGUGGUGUCUGGGUUGGUGUCUGGGUUGUAUGGUAGUGCCAGGAGGGUUGGUGGUGUCUGGGUUGGUGUCUGCCACCAGUACAGAUGGUGAGAGGGUAGUAUGGUAGUGCCAGGAGGGUUGGUGGUGUCUGCCACCAGUACAGAUGGUGUGAGGAGAGUAUGGUAGUGCCAGGAGGGUUGGUGGUGUCUGGUAUGGUGUCUGCCACCAGUACAGAUGGUGAGAGGGUAGUAUGGUAGUGCCAG